rnacentral:lncRNA from 1 species
AUCCAUUCUCAGUAGGGAAAAUAUGUUGUGGAACCCAAUAAAUUAGAAGUCAUUCAAGAAAUUUUGCAUAAGUUUGAAUACAGAUAUUGGUACAACAUAUCUAUAGAUUAAGCAGCUUUAGAGCCGAGCUUGACGGGGUAAAAACUUAAAAGGAUAACUCACAAAAAACUUCAUCAAAGCAAGAUCACAAAUGUGUGCCACCAAAUAAAUUGCAGUAAAAAAAGAUAAAUUCUUACUUGACAAUGGCAUGAAGUACACCGACCAACAUGUGCUAGUUAUUGGACAAUACGUACUUAGAACCUUGCUCUAGUGCAUCGCACCAAUAAUUCUUAACUUGCAAUUCAGAUGCUUCAGCUUCCAAUAUUGCUGCACUUCGAGUAUUUACCCAAUCAUAAUCACCAAACAGAACCACUUGGUUUCAUAUCAACGAGUGAAUUACCAUAUUUAUAUUCCUCAUAAGCAAAUGACAAACCUUCAAAUUGCCCAUAUAGCGGAGUUUCAUGACAUUCAUUUGAGUUUAAAAAAAUCAGUUUAUGUUCCACAACCGAAGUUUUUGGUCCAUUUGAUUUGGGAGGUAAAAGCAAUGGGACUUAUUCUGGUAGUGACUCUAAUGCAAAAUAAUCCUUCCUGCUGAUUCACUCCAGAAAGUUUAUAACCAAUGUCUAUUUCUUUGCUUCUUCCCAUGUAAUGCGAUAAAACCAUGUGGUGUAGUGGCAUAAGUAAUGGUAUUUUCUGUUCAUUUGGAGCCUUGCUGUUCUAUGUUACUGUUCAAAUAUAUUAAUUAAAGAAAAAAAUUUCAUGAGUCAGACACAAGUAUCAAAGUCCAACCUUUGCAUGGUUCCAACGCUUAAUGAAGUGCCGAGUAAUGUCCCUACAAGGUGGUCCCCCCAAAAGCACAAUGAACAUUGUGCCGUGGCAUACGAGGAUAUUUCUCUUGAUCCAGUUCGUCUUUCAUGGCAUUUUCCCAAGAAUUUGGUUCCAGUUCUCUAUAAAAUUCAAAGGAGUUAAUACAUAUAUCAGAAACACUGGACUGCUCUACAUAUCUUCUAUGUAUUUCAGAAGAAAAUCAAGCCUCGAUCAAAUAAUAAUGAUUAACAUAAUUGGCUUUUAGUUACUUACCUAGUAGGUCUACCAGUG